rnacentral:rRNA from 1 species
CACGAACCGUACGAACGUUUAUUCGGAAUUACUGGGCUUAAAGGGUUUGUAGGCGGCCUUGUAAGUCAGGUGUGAAAGCCCUCGGCUCAACCGAGGAACAGCGCUUGAUACUGCAAGGCUUGAGGGAGACAGGGGUAAGCGGAACUGAUGGUGGAGCGGUGAAAUGCGUUGAUAUCAUCAGGAACACCGGUGGCGAAAGCGGCUUACUGGGUCUCUUCUGACGCUGAGGAACGAAAGCUAGGGUAGCGAACGGGG